UACAGAGGUGUCAAACGUUGUCCGGAAUUAUUGGGCGUAAAGGGCGCGUAGGCGGCCGGGUAAGUGAGAUGUGAAAGCUCUGGGCUCAACCCAGGAAUUGCAUUUCAUACUGCUCGGCUAGAGAUUGGUAGAGGAUGGCGGAAUUCCAGGUGUAGCGGUGAAAUGCGUAGAUAUCUGGAGGAACACCUGUGGCGAAGGCGGCUAUCUGGUCCAAUUCUGACGCUGAGGCGCGAAAGGUAGGGGAGCAAACAGGAUUAGAUACCCUGGUAGUCCUACCCGUAAACGAUGAGUACUAGGUGUUGGAGGUAUUGACCCCUUCAGUGCCGUAGCUAACGCAAUAAGUACUCCGCCUGGGAACUACGGUCGCAAGACUGAA
rnacentral:rRNA from 1 species